rnacentral:rRNA from 1 species
AUGGUGGGCGAGGGCUCCCGGCCCAACAACCUCUCCGUCACGAGCCUCCUGUCUGCGUGCGCGCAGCUGAGGAGUCUGGUGCACGGGAGAGAGCUCCACGGAUAUGCCGUCAGGAAUAUCCCUGUUCUUGAUUUGCGCGUUCUCAAUGCGCUGGUAAGCAUGUACGGGAGAUGCGGGCGGUUUGCUGAAGCGAGCACGGUGUUCGCCGGUAUGGGGAAUAAGAGCGUGGUUUCUUGGACCUGCAUGAUCAAUGCCUGCUGCGAGAACAGUCGCCCAGCAGAGGCGCUGGAGGUGUUCAACGAGAUGAGGCUUGCCGUUGUCAAGGUCGAUGAGGUCACCCUGCUUGCAGUCAUCUCGGCGUGCACAAAAUUGGAUUGUACGUCGGAGUUGGGCGAGUGGGUGGAGGAAUAUGCAUGCGAGAAUGGCUUCUUGGAGAACACCCGUAUCGCUAAUUCGCUCAUCCAUAUGCAUGGUAAGAUGGGGAGGGUGAAGAAGUCAUGUCAGAUAUUUGACUCGAUGAGUGUGAGGACUGUGGUCUCAUGGACAGCCAUGAUACAGGCACUUGCUGUGCAUGGGCAUGGGGUGGCUGCCCUUGUUCGGUUUUCGCAGAUGCUUAGACAAGGGUUCUGGCCUGACGAGGUUAUCUUCUUAAGCGUGAUCAAUGCUUGUUGCCACUCCAGGCUAGUGAGUGAAGGGCGCCGGUUGUUCAAGUCCAUGGUCGUAGACUAUCACAUCACACCAUGGAUGGAGCACUAUGGAAGCAUGGUGGACCUGUUGUGCAGAUCUGGCAUGUUGGACGAGGCGUUUGAGUUUGUCCUGGCCAUGCCUGUGAAGCCUGAUCCUGUAAUAUGGCGUGUAUUGACCGGAGCAUGCCGUGAUCAUGGAGAUAUGAAUUUAGCGAGGAAGGUGAUGGAUCAUGUGAUCGACAUGGAGCCUGGCCAUGAGGGGAAUUAUGUGCUUGCGUCAAACUUAUAUGCUGCUAAUGAGAACUGGGGACGUGUUGUGGAUGUAAGGGUGGAGAUGGGUGUGAGGAAAGAGACGUUAAGAUGCAGUACUGCCCUGUCUUACAUUGAAGCCAAUGGUGAAGAAAAUGCAGAAAGCUUCUCUACUGCACAGCACCAGUAA